UUUAUUAAUCCUGUGCUCAACACCUUAAGGAGCCACCUCAUAGUGCUACUCUGAAGAAAGAAGGAGCUGGGGAAAGGCAAAAGGAGAGGAUAGACAGAAGCUUAUGAAGAUAGAUGCUUGCAAAACAACAAGACCUAGGACCUACACUUACUUAUCCAACAGUAUCUACCCUGAAAUACUACGUUUUUAUUUGGCAUGAGCUUUUAUGGACAACUCAAUCAUGGUGGAUUGCUCCUCCAUGCCAUCCCCAGAAUAUGAAUACCCACAGCUUUGGUGGGAGGAUGCAAUUACUGAGGUGCCAGGGGAGCAGAUGCUGUUUGCCACACCAGCCAGGAGAGGCGAGAACGUUUCCAAUUCAGGAGUGAUGCCUCAAGAAGACUGACCUCCUGCAGUCUCGGAAGUCUGCAAAUGUCUGCCUGGCAUGUGAACAGAAAUGGAACAGAGUUCCCAGUGGUCCACCUUACAGGCAAGGAACAAGAGCUUGACACUUUGGAGGACGCAGGUGCAAACCUGGGUGAAAUGACAAGCGUAAAGGGGCUGACGCGGUGACAAGCCUGUUCUCUAGCUGCCCUGUCAAACUGACACAUAUUUUAAAAAGCAACUGAAGGAAAGAAGGAGAUGGAAUUUCACACCAGAGACAAGAACAGGGUGACCAAACGUCCUCCUUUUCCAGGACACAUCCUACAUUUUGUGCUUCUGUCUGGGAGGAAUUCCAAAAUGUUCUCCAUUUCAAGCAUGACUAAGAAGAGUUCUAUAAAUAUAUUGCAAGCCAACAAAGCAUUUUUAACAUAGAUACGUUCAUCAGAAAAAUAUGGUUAAGUACAUAAUAAAAUAUAGUAUAGGUAAUACAGUGGAAUGCGGUGGCCUAGUGGUUAAGAUGCCAAUUCAGAUAAUCGGAAGGUCGGAAGGUUGGCAGUUCAAG